CCUGGCUCAGGACGAACGCUGGCGGCGUGCCUAAUACAUGCAAGUCGAGCGCGGGAAGCAGGCAGAACUCCUUCGGGAGUGAUGCCUGUGGAACGAGCGGCGGACGGGUGAGUAACACGUGGGCAACCUGCCUGUAAGACUGGGAUAACCCCGGGAAACCGGGGCUAAUACCGGAUAACACUUUUUGGUACAUGCCAAGAAGUUGAAAGGCGGCCUUUUUGGCUGUCACUUACAGAUGGGCCCGCGGCGCAUUAGYUAGUUGGUAGGGUAACGGCCUACCAAGGCAACGAUGCGUAGCCGACCUGAGAGGGUGAUCGGCCACACUGGGACUGAGACACGGCCCAGACUCCUACGGGAGGCAGCAGUAGGGAAUCUUCCGCAAUGGACGAAAGUCUGACGGAGCAACGCCGCGUGAGUGAUGAAGGUUUUCGGAUCGUAAAACUCUGUUGUUAGGGAAGAACAAGUGCCGUUCAAAUAGGGCGGCACCUKACGGUACCWACCAGAAAGCCC
rnacentral:rRNA from 1 species